AAAAUUCAAUGAUGAUUUCAUAGUUCAGCUGAUUUAAUUAACAUUGAUGUAUUACUUAGCAAUGUCUUUCGCUCCUAUCUGAUGAUUUUU